rnacentral:rRNA from 1 species
UAAGGAAUAUUGGACAAUGGAGGCAACUCUGAUCCAGCCAUGCCGCGUGAAGGAAUAAGGCCCUAUGGGUUGUAAACUUCUUUUAGACGGGACAAAACCCCUUUACGUGUAAAGGGUUGAUGGUACUGUCAGAAUAAGCAUCGGCUAACUUCGUGCCAGCAGCCGCGGUAAUACGAAGGAUGCAAGCGUUGUCCGGAAUUAUUGGGUUUAAAGGGUGCGUAGGCGGACUAAUAAGUCAGUGGUGAAAGCCUGCAGCUUAACUGCAGAAUUGCCAUUGAUACUGUUAGUCUUGAGUACAGUUGAGGUAGGCGGAAUGUGUCAUGUAGCGGUGAAAUGCUUAGAUAUGACACAGAACACCGAUUGCGAAGGCAGCUUUCUAAGCUGCAACUGACGCUGAGGCACGAAAGCGUGGGGAUCAAACA